rnacentral:rRNA from 1 species
GCAGAAUAAGCACCGGCUAACUACGUGCCAGCAGCCGCGGUAAUACGUAGGGUGCGAGCGUUAAUCGGAAUUACUGGGCGUAAAGCGGGCGCAGACGGUUACUUAAGCAGGAUGUGAAAUCCCCGGGCUCAACCUGGGAACUGCGUUCUGAACUGGGUGACUAGAGUGUGUCAGAGGGAGGUAGAAUUCCACGUGUAGCAGUGAAAUGCGUAGAGAUGUGGAGGAAUACCGAUGGCGAAGGCAGCCUCCUGGGAUAACACUGACGUUCAUGCCCGAAAGCGUGGGUAGCAAACAGGAUUAGAUACCCUGGUAGUCCACGCCCUAAACGAUGUCGAUUAGCUGUUGGGCAGCAUGACUGCUUAGUAGCGAAGCUAACGCGUGAAAUCGACCGCCUGGGGAGUACGGUCGCAAGAUUAAAACUCAAAGGAAUUGACGGGGACCCGCACAAGCGGUGGAUGAUGUGGAUUAAUUCGAUGCAACGCGAAGAACCUUACCUGGUCUUGACAUGUACGGAACCCUCCAGAGACGGAGGGGUGCCUUCGGGAGCCGUAACACAGGUGCUGCAUGGCUGUCGUCAGCUCGUGUCGUGAGAUGUUGGGUUAAGUCCCGCAACGAGCGCAACCCUUGUCAUUAGUUGCCAUCAUUUAGUUGGGCACUCUAAUGAGACUGCCGGUGACAAACCGGAGGAAGGUGGGGAUGACGUCAAGUCCUCAUGGCCCUUAUGACCAGGGCUUCACACGUCAUACAAUGGUCGGUACAGAGGGUAGCCAAGCCGCGAGGUGGAGCCAAUCUCACAAAACCGAUCGUAGUCCGGAUUGCACUCUGCAACUCGAGUGCAUGAAGUCGGAAUCGCUAGUAAUCGCAGGUCAGCAUACUGCGGUGAAUACGUUCCCGGGUCUUGUACACACCGCCCGUCACACCAUGGGAGUGGGGGAUACCAGAAGUAGGUAGGGUAACCGCAAGGAGCCCGCUUACCACGGUAUGCUUCAUGACUGGGGUGAAGUCGUAACAAGGUAGCCGUAGGGGAACCUGCGGCUG